rnacentral:rRNA from 1 species
UAGUAACGUCGAGUGAAGCGGCAUCAGCUCAAAUUUGAAAUCUGGCUCUUUCAGAGUCCGAGUUGUAAUUUGCAGAGGGCGCUUUGGUGUCGGCAGCGGUCCAAGUUCCUUGGAACAGGACGUCAUAGAGGGUGAGAAUCCCGUACGUGGUCGCUGACCUACACCGUGUAAAGCCCCUUCGACGAGUCGAGUUGUUUGGGAAUGCAGCUCUAAAUGGGAGGUAAAUUUCUUCUAAAGCUAAAUACUGGCCAGAGACCGAUAGCGCACAAGUAGAGUGAUCGAAAGAUGAAAAGCACUUUGGAAAGAGAGUCAAACAGCACGUGAAAUUGUUGAAAGGGAAGCGCUUGCAGCCAGACUUGCUUGUAGUUGCUCAUCCGGGCUUUUGCCCGGUGCGCUCUUCUGCGAGCAGGCCAGCAUCAGUUUGGACGGAUGGAUAAAGGCCUCUGUCACGUACCUUCUCUCGGGAAGGCCUUAUAGAGGAGGCGUCAUGCAACCAGUCUGGACUGAGGUCCGCGCAUCUGCUAGGAUGCUGGCGUAAUGGCUGUAAGCGGCCCGUCUUGAAAC